rfam:Flavobacterium rivuli WB 3.3-2 = DSM 21788 strain WB 3.3-2 contig40, whole genome shotgun sequence.
ACGGAGUAUCCGAAAAUCCGAUAAUAGAGUAGGGC